CGUGUCAUUGCUCAGUUAAGCUGUUCUGUUUUUACUGCAGAGUAUCAUCUUUUUUUUGCUUAUAUAGAAUCAUCACCUGAGGGAAUAUCUCAGGAAUGGAAUGACCACAUUUGGCAGCAAUAAUAAUAACCUGAAACAAUGCAUGUCAAAGACUCUGUACCCUGGCAGCAUGCAUGGGGUGAAGCAGCAUUAAUGACUGGGUGCUCCAGUGACUGCACAUAGUCAUGCAAAGGCAAGAGAUACUGUUAUGUGGAAUGAACACUUAUGAAGAGUGUUAUAUUGAGGAAAAGUUUCUAUAUGGCAGUAGUUUCUUUAUGGAAUAAAGGAAACUAUCUCUCCAUUUAAACCAAUAGAGAUGUUUGAAAAGGUGUUGAUGUUUGCCAUCUAACACGUUGUUGCUACUCUGAGCUCAACAAAACUGGUAAGCAGCUCCCUGCUUUCUACAUGAUAAAGUUGCUUUGAGAUCAGUGGGAAUAACUGCCUAC
rnacentral:lncRNA from 1 species